ensembl:lncRNA
AUUUGAAUAGCAUCUUAAUACAUUAAGCCAUAUUAAGUGUUUGUUUUUUCUACGGGAGGAAAACGCUUAAUGAGAGACUUUGCGCAUUGCAUUCAUAUUCUGCUGUUUUGUGGCCACGGAUUUGCGGGUCUUGUUUUUUUAUUCUUGCAGGACCUCUGUACGUGACGGUACUAAAUUAGUUUUAAUCACCACAGCGUCUUGUCUCCAUUGGCAACAUGCACGAUUUCUGUUGAUUGCAAAUGACGUCGCAGGUAGCUGAGAGUGCAAGUGGCGAUUGCAAGUGACUUCGUAAUUUAGUUUCUUUUUUCCUGUCUUCAACACCUGGCUGCUGUUGUAAAAUGUUGAGAGAUUCAAACAAAAAAUAAUAAAUAAAUAGAACACAAUAUAAAAUAAAGACUGCAAGUAAUGUCACUACCGGAAGUGCAAGUGUCUGAGAGUGCAAGUCUGAGAAUGCAAGUCUGAGAGUGCAAGUCUGAGAGUGCAAGUCUGAGAGUGCAAGUCUGAGAGUGCAAGUCUGAGAGUGCAAGUGCAAGUCUGCAGCCAGACCCUUUUGGGAUGAUGGCAUUAAUCCAGAGACGAUCAAACAGGAAACAGAGCAUGAAGCAGGACCGCUGAAUGACGACCAGACAAACACCACGCGGACCUCACACAACGAUCUGACAAACAAGAGACGAACGACCGGGCAUUAAAUAGGCUGCUGUAACGAGCUGCACCUGCCGCUGAUCAGCCGAUCAGCGGUAACACCCACAUGAAACAAUUAACAUGACGUCACAACAAACCAGCAGGAGACGGUGCAUUCAUGAACCGUGACAACAUUCUAAUAGAGAAUUUAUUAUUAUUAUUAUUAUUAUUAUUAUUAAUAAUAAAUAUCAUUUACAGGGAGGUCUGCAUCCAAGAUUUCUGACUGCAAUAGCAACAGUGUUCGCAUAUAAACUACGUCUUUAACCUUCAGUAUCCAGAGGAGGCAUGUGGCACAUUGGAAUUCAUUCAAAGACGAUUCGUUUGGAUAAACCCUGAAAAAGGCUCGAAGCCCGGCAGAGGCAAGGUUGAUUCAAAGAAUACUGGAAAGAUUGUGAAUAACAAGUCUGCUACUGUCAUCCCCAAAGUUGUCUCCCUCCUAAAGAACCUCAUCGAUUUCAAAGGGGAUUUUGUCUAGGUAACUAAACUUAAUUGCCCCCUACCACAUAUUCUAGCUUCCUGAGAGAUUUACCACCUCUAAUCUAC